UGUCUCGCGAGCGUCUGCAUUACUUGUAGAGUCGUUUGCGGCAGUGGGGCUGCAGUGCCCGUUGGGUGCGAUUCGGGGUCGAUGUGUCCACCAUCGGUAUUGGAUGCAGCAGAUGUGGAUAUGUACGCUUGGAGACUGAGAGACGUAGUGACAACGUGUUAGGCACGGUCGCUAGUGCUGAGCGUCGCGUGCCGCUCAAGGCGAUGGCGGCAUACGGCAACAUCCAUUAUUCACGGCUUACUACGCGAGCCCUUUGGGGUCUGUUGAUUUUACUAUAAGUUUGUGACGAUUAUAGGCGUUCACUGCAAGGUGGUAGGCAACGCGUGGAGGGAUGGACACGGCUGUGGACAGGGUGGAGAAGGAAGGGGGGUGGAACGAAUCAAGGCGUCGCGCAAGUAUUCGUCAGAGUGCGGUCGCGUGUUGUGGGUCAGCUUUCGAUGCAGGAGUGGUCGCGUGUGAGUAUAAGUUUUAUGCAUGCUUAAUGUAUUAUCGGCUGUAGCGAAGGGGUCUAUUCAGGUCACCAGCAC
rnacentral:lncRNA from 1 species